rnacentral:rRNA from 2 species
CUCAGGACGAACGCUGGCGGCGUGCCUAAUACAUGCAAGUCGAACGAACUCUGGUAUUGAUUGGUGCUUGCAUCAUGAUUUACAUUUGAGUGAGUGGCGAACUGGUGAGUAACACGUGGGAAACCUGCCCAGAAGCGGGGGAUAACACCUGGAAACAGAUGCUAAUACCGCAUAACAACUUGGACCGCAUGGUCCGAGCUUGAAAGAUGGCUUCGGCUAUCACUUUUGGAUGGUCCCGCGGCGUAUUAGCUAGAUGGUGGGGUAACGGCUCACCAUGGCAAUGAUACGUAGCCGACCUGAGAGGGUAAUCGGCCACAUUGGGACUGAGACACGGCCCAAACUCCUACGGGAGGCAGCAGUAGGGAAUCUUCCACAAUGGACGAAAGUCUGAUGGAGCAACGCCGCGUGAGUGAAGAAGGGUUUCGGCUCGUAAAACUCUGUUGUUAAAGAAGAACAUAUCUGAGAGUAACUGUUCAGGUAUUGACGGUAUUUAACCAGAAAGCCACGGCUAACUACGUGCCAGCAGCCGCGGUAAUACGUAGGUGGCAAGCGUUGUCCGGAUUUAUUGGGCGUAAAGCGAGCGCAGGCGGUUUUUUAAGUCUGAUGUGAAAGCCUUCGGCUCAACCGAAGAAGUGCAUCGGAAACUGGGAAACUUGAGUGCAGAAGAGGACAGUGGAACUCCAUGUGUAGCGGUGAAAUGCGUAGAUAUAUGGAAGAACACCAGUGGCGAAGGCGGCUGUCUGGUCUGUAACUGACGCUGAGGCUCGAAAGUAUGGGUAGCAAACAGGAUUAGAUACCCUGGUAGUCCAUACCGUAAACGAUGAAUGCUAAGUGUUGGAGGGUUUCCGCCCUUCAGUGCUGCAGCUAACGCAUUAAGCAUUCCGCCUGGGGAGUACGGCCGCAAGGCUGAAACUCAAAGGAAUUGACGGGGGCCCGCACAAGCGGUGGAGCAUGUGGUUUAAUUCGAAGCUACGCGAAGAACCUUACCAGGUCUUGACAUACUAUGCAAAUCUAAGAGAUUAGACGUUCCCUUCGGGGACAUGGAUACAGGUGGUGCAUGGUUGUCGUCAGCUCGUGUCGUGAGAUGUUGGGUUAAGUCCCGCAACGAGCGCAACCCUUAUUAUCAGUUGCCAGCAUUAAGUUGGGCACUCUGGUGAGACUGCCGGUGACAAACCGGAGGAAGGUGGGGAUGACGUCAAAUCAUCAUGCCCCUUAUGACCUGGGCUACACACGUGCUACAAUGGAUGGUACAACGAGUUGCGAACUCGCGAGAGUAAGCUAAUCUCUUAAAGCCAUUCUCAGUUCGGAUUGUAGGCUGCAACUCGCCUACAUGAAGUCGGAAUCGCUAGUAAUCGCGGAUCAGCAUGCCGCGGUGAAUACGUUCCCGGGCCUUGUACACACCGCCCGUCACACCAUGAGAGUUUGUAACACCCAAAGUCGGUGGGGUAACCUUUUAGGAACCAGCCGCCUAAGGUGGGACAGAUGAUUAGGGUGAAGUCGUAACAAGGUAGCCGUAGGAGAACCUGCGGCUGGAUACC